rnacentral:lncRNA from 1 species
GGGGAGCUGGCCUGGGGCUCCAAUCUCACCCCGCCAAAUAGCCCUUGUGCCCCCCAAAAUUUUUUAUUGGGGCUGCCUCUCGGGUUCUACCUGGACUCCCAAUCAAAGGCAACUCAACACACCUGCCUUCAAUUGGAAGUCCCAAUCACCAACACAAACAUUCACACACACAAACUGCCACGUCCUGACCCCAAAACGAAUACAAUAGCUCCAUCUGCUGGUCAGGACAUGACAAUCGUAACUCCUAAACCAAAUCGUAACUCCUAAACCUAACCCUAACUCCUAAAUCUAAACCUAAACCUAACCAUAACUCCUAUACCUAAACCUAACCAUAACUCCUAUACCUAAACCUAAUCGUAACUCCUAAACCUAAUCGGAACUCCUAAACAUAAUCGUAACUCCUAAACCUAAUCGUAACUCCUAACCUUAUUUCUAACCCUAAAUGGAACCCCUGAGCCUAAAAUAGCAUUUUUUCUCAUGUGGAUCUUCAAAAUGUCCCCACUUGGCCACAUUUUCCUUGUUUUACUAUCCUUAUGAUGAUGCCUAGUACCCACAAGGACAGUUCAACAAAAACACACAGAGAGGAAGGGCUGUACAGUGAACACACUGAGUCACAUUUCAUAUAAAGAGACAUUCCCCUGGGGUCACUUGUCAACCAGGCAUACAUCCCUGACCUCUCCUUCCACAUCACACUGCAUUGUGUCCUACGCUAGAGAAUAGGAUGAUGUCAUUUCAUUAUAAUUGAUUGAUUGUUUAAUUAGUUUGCCAUUUGAGUGAAACUGGAAUACCUGGUUUUGGAUGGUGAUGUGAUCUUUAUGUAAAGGAAGGAAGGGGAAGCUGAAUGGUUGGCUGAGUGGAGGUCUCUAUGAUAAGAUAGGAGAACAGUGUGAUCUUUAUGUAAAGGAAGGAAGGGGGAGCUGAAUGGUUGGCUGAGUGGGGGUCUCUAUGAUAAGAUAGGAGAACAGUGUGAUCUUUAUGUAAAGGAAGGAAGGGGGAGCUGAAUGGUUGGCUGAGUGGGGGUCUCUAUGAUAAGAUAGGAGAACAGUGUGAUCUUUAUGUAAAGCAAGGAAGGGGGAGCUGAAUGGUUGGCUGAGUGGAGGUCUCUAUGAUAAGAUAGGGAGAACAGUGUGAUCUUUAUAGUGUUGUAGAGGAGGCUCUGUGGUGAGGACAAGGCCGCUGGAGGACGUCUGAAACCAUAGUUCUCCCUCAGGACCUAUUACUGACUGUAGAUCUACCAGAGCUGAGUCCCUCACUACAGCAGGUGUAGAUCUACCAGAGCUGAGUCCCUCACUACAGCAGGUGUAGAUCUACCAGAGCUGAGUCUCUCACUACAGCAGGUGUAAAUCUACCAGAGCUGAGUCCCUCACUACAGCAGGUGUAGAUCUACCAGAGCUGAGUCUCUCACUACAGCAGGUGUAAAUCUACCAGAGCUGAGUCCCUCACUACAGCAGGUGUAGAUCUACCAAAGCUGAGUCCCUCACUACAGCAGGUGUAAAUCUACCAGAGCUGAGUCUCUCACUACAGCAGGUGGAGAUCUACCAGAGCUGAGUCCCUCACUACAGCAGGUGUAGAUCUACCAGAGCUGAGUCUCUCACUACAGCAGGUGUAGAUCUACCAGAGCUGAGUCCCUCACUACAGCAGGUGUAGAUCUACCAAAGCUGAGUCUCUCACUACAGCAGGUGUAAAUCUACCAGAGCUGAGUCUCUCACUACAGCAGAUGGUGU